CGGUGACGGGGCUAAAAGGGGUUUCGAUAUAGUUGCCUCUGGUGAGGUGGGGAGUGGAAAUGGUCUGAUUCUCGAGGGUGGCGUGGGUGGUAAAGAUGAUAAAGGUGAUGGAGUUCAAAGGGGUUCUGAUGUAGUUACCUCUGGUGAGGCGGGGAGUGGAAAUGGUGUGAUUCUCGAGGGUGGAGUGGGUAUUAAUGAUGAUAACGGUGACGGGGCUAAAAGGGGUUUCGAUAUAGUUGCCUCUGGUGAGGUGGGGAGUAGAAAUGGUGUGAUUCUCGAGGGUGGAGUGGGUGGUAAAGAUGAUAAAGGUGACGGAGUUCAAAGGGGUUCUGAUGUAGUUACCUCUGGUGAGGUGGGGAGUGGAAAUUGUGUGAUUCUUGAUGGUGGAGUGGGUGUUAAAGAUGAUAAAGGUGACGGAGUUCAAAGUGGUUCUGAUGUAGUUGCCUCAGGUGAGGUGGGGAGUGGAAAUGGUGUGAUUCUUGAAGGUGAUU
rnacentral:lncRNA from 1 species